GACGGGGACCCGCACAAGCAGCGGAGCAUGUGGUUUAAUUCGAAGCAACGCGAAGAACCUUACCUAAACUUGACAUACCAAUGACAGCCUUUUAAUCGAGGACUUUUACCUUCGGGUAGACAAUGGAUACAGGUGGUGCAUGGUUGUCGUCAGCUCGUGUCGUGAGAUGUUGGGUUAAGUCCCGCAACGAGCGCAACCCUUGUCGAUAGUUACCAGCAGUAAGAUGGGGACUCUAUCGAGACAGCUAAGGACAACUUAGAGGAAGGUGGGGAUGACGUCAAAUCAUCAUGCCCCUUAUGUUUAGGGCUACACACGUGCUACAAUGGUCAUUACAGAGAGAAGCGAAACUGCGAAGUCAAGCAAACCUCAAAAAGAUGAUCCAAGUUCGGAUUGUAGGCUGAAACUCGCCUACAUGAAGUCGGAGUUGCUAGUAAUCGCGAAUCAGAAUGUCGCGGUGAAUGCGUUCCCGGGUCUUGUACACACCGCCCGUCACACCAUGGGAGUUUGGGGGGCCCAAAGUCAGCGACUCAACCGCAAGGAGAGAGCUGCCCAAGGCAAAACAAAUGACUGGGGUGAAGUCGUAACAAGGUAGCCG
rnacentral:rRNA from 1 species